GGUUCCUGUAAAGUGGUACUUCGACAUCUUCGACAUUUAAAAGUUAAAUGCAAGGUUAAAUGUUGAAGGUUAAUUUGGCGCACGAAUCCCAAGUUAUAAAACGAGCCGUUGGCGAGAAGAGUUUGCGCUUACCGCAUUAUAUGCUACUGAAGAAAUAAAAUCCGACUUUGAAUUCGUGCUGAAGCAAAUUUUUCGAACGUUUGAUUACUUCCUUUGUGGCUGACUGAAGUAUGGGCUUUAAUUACCAUACCAGAGGAUGAAUUUGUUGAAGACCCAGAAUUUUUGUGGUACUGGGUGGUACUAGUAGUUGCAGUCACUAAAAUGGAUGGAUACACCAUAAUAGAUAAAUUCAGUUUUUUGUUCAUAGUGUCGAACAUGGGGGUCUCACGGAGGCACUGGAGGAUACACCAGAGAGGUACGCGAAAAAAGCAACUGAGAAUCCAACAAGUAAUUCGAGCGCAGAAUAUGGGGGGCCCUACCAUUUGAUUACAGGUGACUUCCGUUCUUAAUUUAUUGGACACAUUAAGGAUGUGUGCAAAAACGCAAGCUGGAGGGUUAAUGCGUGCAUUGCGUCUGAGGGACAACAUUUUGCGCAAUUUUUCUAACGUUUCAGUUGCUGAAACUGUCAGACGAAAUGUGUUUGAACAAUUUUCGACAAUUGAAGAGAAUUUGAUGACUAACGAAGCCGAAAUUAACGGAGUGGCUUGGAAUCUGAGGCUUAGUGUGUGAAAAAUUCAAAUUUAGUGAGUAGAAAAUU